AGUGAACGCUGGCGGUAGGCCUAACACAUGCAAGUCGAACGGCAGCACAGAGGAGCUUGCUCCUCGGGUGGCGAGUGGCGGACGGGUGAGGAAUACAUCGGAAUCUACUCUGUCGUGGGGGAUAACGGAGGGAAACUUACGCUAAUACCGCAUACGACCUACGGGUGAAAGCAGGUGAUCUUCGGACCUUGCGCGAUUGAAUGAGCCGAUGUCGGAUUAGGUAGUUGGCGGGGUAAAGGCCCACCAAGGCGACGAGCCGUAGCUGGUCUGAGAGGAUGAUCAGCCACACUGGAACUGAGACACGGUCCAGACUCCUACGGGAGGCAGCAGUGGGGAAUAUUGGACAAUGGGCGCAAGCCUGAUCCAGCCAUACCGCGUGGGUGAAGAAGGCCUUCGGGUUGUAAAGCCCUUUUGUUGGGAAAGAAAUCCAUCUGGUUAAUACCCGGGUGGGAUGACGGUACCCAAAGAAUAAGCACCGGCUAACUUCGUGCCAGCAGCCGCCGCCG
rnacentral:rRNA from 1 species